GUGAAGAACGCAGCGAAAUGCGAUAAGUAAUGUGAAUUGCAGAAUUCAGUGAAUCAUCGAAUCUUUGAACGCACAUUGCGCCCGCCAGUAUUCUGGCGGGCAUGCCUGUUCGAGCGUCAUUUCAACCAUCAAGCCCCGGGCUUGUGUUGGGGACCUGCGGCUGCCGCAGGCCCUGAAAAGCAGUGGCGGGCUCGCUGUCACACCGAGCGUAGUAGCAUACAUCUCGCUCUGGGCGUGCUGCGGGUUCCGGCCGUUAAACCACCUUUUAACCCAAGGUUGACCUCGGAUCAGGUAGGAAGACCCGCUGAACUUAAGCAUAUCAAUAAGCGGAGGA
rnacentral:misc_RNA from 1 species